rnacentral:rRNA from 1 species
UACGUAGGGUGCGAGCGUUGCCCGGAUUUAUUGGGCGUAAAGGGCGCGCAGGCGGCUACGCACGUCCGUUGUGAAAUCGCUCGGCUCAACUGGGCGGGGUCAGCGGAUACGGCGUAGCUGGAGCAAGCUAGGGGGCAAUGGAAUUCCCGGUGUAGUGGUGGAAUGCGUAGAUAUCGUUUGGAACGCCAACGGUGAAAACAGCUCGCUGGGGGUGUGCUGACGCUGAGACACGAAAGCCAGGGGAGCGAACGGG